UCGAGAAUCUUCGGCAAUGGGCGCAAGCCUGACCGAGCGACGCCGCGUGCGGGAUGAAGGCCCUUGGGUUGUAAACCGCUGUCAGGGGGGAGCAAGGCGUAAGCUUGAGCGAGCCCCAGAGGAAGCACGGGCUAAGUUCGUGCCAGCAGCCGCGGUAAUACGAACUGUGCGAACGUUAUUCGGAAUCACUGGGCUUACAGGGUGCGUAGGCGGCCUUCCAAGUCAGGUGUGAAAUCCCCCAGCUCAACUGGGGAACUGCGCUUGAAACUGGAGGGCUGGAGGCAACUAGAGGUGCAUGGAACUUCCGGUGGAGCGGUGAAAUGUGUUGAUAUCGGAAGGAACACCAGAGGCGAAAGCGAUGCACUGGGGUUGAUCUGACGCUGAGGCACGAAAGCCAGGGGAGCGAACG
rnacentral:rRNA from 1 species